rnacentral:rRNA from 1 species
UACGGGGGGGGCAAGCGUUGUUCGGAAUUACUGGGCGUAAAGGGCUCGUAGGCGGCCAACUAAGUCGGAUGUGAAAUCCCCAGGCUUAACCUGGGAACUGCAUCCGAUACUGGAUGGCUUGAAUCCGGGAGAGGGAUGCAGAAUUCCAGGUGUAGCGGUGAAAUGCGUAGAUAUCUGGAGGAAUACCGGUGGCGAAGGCGGAUCUCUGGGCCAUUACUGACGCUGAGGAGCGAAAGCGUGGGGAGCGAACAGG